rnacentral:rRNA from 1 species
UACGGAGACUACGAGCGUUACUCGGAUUCACUGGGCGUAAAGGGUGCGCAGGUGGCCGUGUGUGUUAGGUGUGAAAUCUCGGGGCUCAACCCCGAAACUGCGCCUAAAACUACACGGCUAGAGUUCUGGAGGGGUAAGCGGAAUUCCUGGUGUAGCAGUGAAAUGCGUAGAUAUCAGGAGGAACACCAAAGGCGAAGGCAGCUUACUGGACAGAUACUGACACUCAGGCACGAAAGCGUGGGGAGCAAAAAGG